UACUAAGUAGCUCAUGCACAGUGAAACUGACUCUUGAAUUAAUAUUUCCCACUCAAGGCCUUCUGUACUAGACUGGUCGAUAGAAAGGACUGCUGACCUCAACACCCGCAAGAGAAAAAGACAACAGCAGUGGUAGACAGCAACCCAGGAAUCUGGACCAGGAAAGAAAGGAAAUUCUCCAGUGAAGCUGAAUAACUGCUCACGAUGUGUAUCACUGCUUGCUACUGAAAGGUCUGCAAACAAAGGGAAAAUGAUGGAGGAAACUUUCACGUAUUGAGGUAUGGAGAAGUCAUUCUGGCUUAUAAGCUUCCUGGGAAAGAAAAAUUCCUGUGACUUGAACUGCGGAAAGACAGAAGUUAUCACAGAUGUCACAUGGCUCAGGGUGGAGCCAAGGAAAUCAAGAAAAGUAAGAUGUUUCUUAGUUUCCCUUCACUCAAAACCACUAUUUUCCUAAUUCUAUCAAACUCCAUAAAAGGCACAAAAUAGAGCUAGAAACUUGGAAAUAUCCAAAAAGUGAGCAAAGGCUCUAAAAUUAAGAGACCAUCCCUGUUCCUCCUGUUGGCCCAAAAAGACACCCUCAGUCACCUCCCAUUUUCUGUUUAGAUCCCCUCUUAACUCCAGAUGAAAAUGCAGCUUUUGGCCAAUGCAUCUGCUUCCCCUGCAGUGCAGCUAGGAUCCCCCAGGCCAUCUCCUCUGCUCCAGCCCAGGCUGGAUUCUCUCCCUGCUUAUUUUCUACUCACCAGUUGUUUUUCCGAAGUUCCUCUCACACGUUAAGGUCCUCUCUUCUGGCUCAGCCUCAGUUAAGUCCCACAUCUCCCUCUGCACAUGUGUGCUGCGAGGGAGCAUGUGUUCUGGGGUGCAGUCUGCACUCUCCGUUGAAGGAAAUGGAGGUCAUGUGCCCUGCAGUGAGUUAGCUCCACGGCCAAGGCCAUUUCCUUCAACGAGUCUGGGAACAGGCCCCAUCCCUCUCAUGUCGUUUCACAGCCUUCUCUACAGUUUCUGUAAUUAACAUUCACAGGUCAGAACAAAACCUGGAGUUUUUCUGUUCUUUACUAAAUAAACAUUAGCUUCACAGAAACCAGCCCCAAACUCAUCAGUGUCCAAUUAUGUGAGAACAGGCCCCAGGGGGACCAGGUCAUACAUC